GAUGAACGCUAGCGAUAGGCCUAACACAUGCAAGUCGAGGGGCAUCACAUGAAGUAGCAAUACGGAUGGUGGCGACCGGCGCACGGGUGAGUAACACGUAUGCAACCUGCCUUCAACAAGGGGAUAACCCGUUGAAAGACGGACUAAUACCCUAUAACACAGGGGUCCCGCAUGGGAAUAUUUGUUAAAGGACAACCGGUUGAAGAUGGGCAUGCGUUCCAUUAGCUAGUUGGCGGGGUAAGGGCCCACCAAGGCAACGAUGGAUAGGGGAACUGAGAGGUUUAUCCCCCACACUGGUACUGAGACACGGACCAGACUCCUACGGGAGGCAGCAGUGAGGAAUAUUGGUCAAUGGACGCAAGUCUGAACCAGCCACGUCGCGUGAAGGAAGACGGCCCUACGGGUUGUAAACUUCUUUUAUACGGGAAUAAAGUGCCCCACGCGUGGGGUUUUGCAUGUACCGUAUGAAUAAGGAUCGGCUAACUCCGUGCCAGCAGCCGCGGUAA
rnacentral:rRNA from 1 species